GAGGAGCUGCAACCAUCAAGUACUGCAUUGCUAGAAAGGAUGGGAGGCGAGGAGAAGAUCAGAGUAACUUCCUUUUCCGGAUCGCUCAGGGGAAGAAGGAGGCGUGGGGGGGGAGGCUUUUGUGCUCUUCCCAGGGUCGAAGCAGCAGCUGGAAGACAAAGAAGAUGGCAAUAAGAGCACUCUGGAGAAGUGGCGGAGGACUGGGAGCCACAGCGAAGGGAUGAAAGAGCCGCAUGCGGCUCAGGAACCACGAGUUGCUGAUCCCUGGUCUAAUCUCUUCUUAAAAACCUCCAGUGAUGGAGCACCCAUGAUUUCUGAAGACAAACAAGACUACCAAAGAAACUACAAUGGGAAAUGAGGAGGGAUGUGGCAUCCAGGACAGGGUUGUAUAAAGAAGGAAUAUUUUUGGUUGGAACUUUGGAGAGAACCAAGCUUUGAUAGCUUCUCUCCUCGCUUAUUGCAAUAAAUGAAAUAAAAGGCCUUCACUGUGCCUUGGCUGGUUAUUGGUCAGGUGAGUUUGCUUCUGGUCAUGAAGGAAAGUAGGCAGGAGCACAUAACACUCUGGUUAAUUGUCUGCAUUUUUAGGAAGUUUCUCCUUAAUUCCAGGUUCUUCUCUCUCUGAUCAGUUUCCAACCGUUGUUUCUUAUCCUGCCCUCUGAUGCUUUGGAGAAUUUUAUCCCACCUUCCUUGUGGCAGCCCCCCAAAUACUGUGGGGGAGAGGUCAGGGGGACCAUGGGGGAAAAAUCUGUGGGGACCAUGGGAUGGGAGAAAAGUUUGGUUGGUCCCUAUAAGGGAGGAAGAGCCCCAGGGGAACCAAGGGUUGGGAAGCAGAGCACAGGGUGUCUCAGGGGUGGGGGAGGCCUAGGGAUACCUGUGGGGGCAGGUCUGAGCCUGCAUUAGGCCUUCAAGACCUUCUCCCAACAGUUGGGGUGCUAGUAUUCCACGUAGCGACUUACACAUCUGUUUAAUGGCUGCAUCACGGACGGUGGAGGUAAUUAACUAAACCACUCUCACUUCAUGGCUUUUGCAACGUGCAACUGUAACUGGCAGGCCCCAUUAUAGUUUUAACUUGAAGACUACUGGCGUGCUGGCUGGGAAAAUAUGGGGAUCAAAAUCUGGAGCACAACAAGCAAGGCUGAAACUCCAUAUGUUGGAUUUCCAUAAUCAAUAUACAAAAAGCACACAAAACGCUAUUUGAGGAGUUCCACAAGUUCUGUAAAAGGAAACAUCCAGAAACAUCUGCUGAUAAUUAGAAACAGGUCAUUAGCCUUUAUUAAGCUA